rnacentral:rRNA from 1 species
GCGAACCGGAUUAGAUACCCGGGUAGUCCCGGCUGUAAACGAUGCGGGCUAUGUGUUGGGUGGGCUUUGAGCCCACCCAGUGCCGCAUGGAAGCCGUUAAGCCCGCCGCCUGGGGAGUACGGCCGCAAGGCUGAAACUUAAAGGAAUUGGCGGGGGAGCACCACAAGGGGUGGAGCCUGCGGUUUAAUUGGAGUCAACGCCGGGAAUCUUACCGAGGGCGACAGCAGGAUGAAGGCCAGGCUAACGACCUUGCCAGACACGCUGAGAGGAGGUGCAUGGCCGUCGCCAGCUCGUGCCGUGAGGCGUCCGGUUAAGUCCGGCAACGAGCGAGAUCCCCACCCCCAGUUGCGAUCCUGAUCCCUGGAUCGGGAGCACACUGGGGGGACUGCCGCCGAUAAGGCGGAGGAAGGAGGGGGCCACGGCAGGUCAGCAUGCCCCGAAUCCCUCGGGCUACACGCGGGCUACAAUGGUGGGGACAGCGGGUGCCGACCCCGAAAGGGGAAGGCAAUUCCUGAAACCCCGCCGUGGUUGGGAUCGAGGGCUGUAACUCGCCCUCGUGAACGUGGAAUCCCU